GCUUCAUCUGCGUCUGCAUCUUCGCGGCGUCCGAGUCAUGAACUAGAAGCUGUUAGAGCUGGUUGGCACUGAUGCCUGAGUCUGCAUCAUGUCCACAAAGAGCCCCCAUGUUUCUUGAGAACGUUCCCUGGCUUUCUCUCUUGUCUACACCCAGACACACUCAGCGAGGCUUGUGCAAUGAAACUGACAAAUGGUGUACACCGUAGUUAUUCAACAUACAUGUUCAGCUCACCGAAGAAAUGAUGACCAUGAUAAGUCCAGCAACCAUCCGACACCGUACCACGCUGUCACAAUAUUAUUGACUGUCUUCCCUGUGCUGUACGUUACAUC